rnacentral:rRNA from 1 species
GACGUAGGGCGCGAGCGUUGUCCGGAUUUAUUGGGCGUAAAGCGCUCGUAGGCGGCUUGUCGCGUCGACUGUGAAAACCCGCGGCUCAACCGUGUGGCUUGCAGUCGAUACGGGCAGGCUAGAGUUCGGUAGGGGAGACUGGAAUUCCUGGUGUAGCGGUGAAAUGCGCAGAUAUCAGGAGGAACACCGGUGGCGAAGGCGGGUCUCUGGGCCGAUACUGACGCUGAGGAGCGAAAGCGUGGGGAGCGAACAGG